UCCCUGGUUGUCUAGUGGUAAGGAUUCGGCGCUCUCACCGCCCCGCGCCCGACGGGUUCGAUUCCCGGUCAGGCAA
rnacentral:tRNA from 1 species